AGACAUAGCCGAGAGGGCAGCAACACCCUCCUGAAAGGGUGGGAGGUGUUGUGCAUCAGGCUGGGGUCCCGAAUCUGGCGGAAGAGAACCGUAAUGAGGGGGAGGGAGAAGCCAGGUUGUAAGGAUGCACACCUGGCACUGAUUUGGCUAAUCAGUGGGAGAGAGAGAGAGAUAAAGGAGUGGCUGGAAGCACUAGUGAGGGAGAGAGAGAGAGAGAGGUAUGUGCGCUUUGUGUUCCGUUUGUGGUUCUGUUAUGUUUGAAUCCUGUUUAUGAUUAAAGUUUAUGCUUAUGUUCAGGUGGCUAAAGUUUGUUACAAUUACUAAUGGGAAGUAAAGAAUUGAGCAGUGGUCCCCAGGCCUAACUCUGUGGUACUCCGGAGGCCCUCUCUAAAAUCGGUCAGAACACACCACUGCUUCAGCUCAAUAGAUAGGUUGAUAAUGAGGAGAUGGGAACAGCAAGGAGCCUUGCCUGCCACAUCCAGAAAGUUAGGGUAGCUGGUCUGAAACAAGGUGUACACUGUGAGUUCCAAGCCUGCUGGAGGAUUCUAAUUACCUCCGAAUAGGCACAGAAAUGUUGAUAGGGAAAGGAUUAAGGCAAGGUGAAACUAAAGAGCUGUUUAGAGGGGAUAAUAUUUCCUUCCAUAUGUUUAAGUAAUGAUGCAGAAGAACAUUACAAAGAAGCAGGGGGCACAGAGCAAAGAAGCAGAAGCAGGGGGACAUCUCACUACACUCAAGCAAGGACAGUGUUCAACAGCUGAAUAUGCUUUAGAGUUUUGCACAUUGGAAUCAGAUGGAAUGGACCUGCUCUCCUUGUCACCUUCUGCCAGGGUCUGAGAGGAGAUAUUUUCACGGAGUUGGCUUACAGAGACAGAAAGACACUUUCUCAUUGGACACUGUCACUAGUUUUAGAGACCAUCUAAAUAAGCUCUUUAGUGAAAGGAGAAUUCAGGCUUUCAGUUCUGUUUCCACCAACAUCAAUAAUGAGAUUCUUCAAGCUCCAGAUCCCAUACAAUUUGGUCCUACCAAGCUGGCUAUUGAAGAAAGUCAGAACAAUAUGCGCACUGUGUUGCACAAUGUUCAGUUUGAUCCAUUACCAAAGAGUGUCGACAAUCUAGAGAGAACAUGCUUAAACGACCAUUCUCUAAUGUGUUAAGUAUACCCUGUGCUAUUUCUCCCAAACAAUUCUAUAUACCUGCCAUGGUCCUUUAUUCACACAAUUCCUUCUCCCUCCACUUUCAGCAUUCAUUGACAUCAGGGUGGCCAUGAACAUAAUAGAUGUCAGCAUCAUGUCAGGAUUAUUGUACAACCCCUUAAGACUCCAUUUCCUGUUCAAGCACUGGAUGGAAACCCAUUAGGAGAGGGGGGACAUUACACUGUAUUAAUUUAUUAUAUAGCAUUAUUUAAUCUAUGUCUCACAUCUAUCCAUUGCCAUCCACCAAAAACAAAGUUAUGGUUGAGUACAUAGAAGCACUAUAAAACUAUAUAAACACUAUAGAAACACUCCCUGUCCCAUAUCUGCAACAUUUUUCUUCAUAUACAAAAAGGGAGAAGAUUUCUGUCUCUGUAUGGAUUUUACCAUGACCUGGUCCAAAUCACUGUUAAAUAUACACUGAUAAGCCAUAAUAUUAAAACCACCUGUCUAAUAUUGUGCAGGUCCCCCUUGUGUUGCCUAAACAGCUGACCAGCCGAGGCACGUACUCCAAAAGACCGCUGAAGGCGCCCUGUUGUA